GACAGAGGCCCCAAGCGUUUAGGCGGAAUCACUGGGCUUAAAGCGUGUGUAGGCGGACGCCUAAGUGUCUUGUGAAAUCCCACGGCUCACCCGUGGAACUGCUGGGCAUACUGGGCGUCUUGGGCCAACUAGGGGCAGCCGGAACAAGCGGUGGAGCGGUGAAAUGCGUAGAUAAUCGGCUUGGAACGCCGAAGGUGAAAACAGGCUGCUGGAGUUGUGCCG
rnacentral:rRNA from 1 species